UAGACUCUCGAGAGAAAUAAUGGAG
rnacentral:piRNA from 1 species